UACGUAGGGGGCAAGCGUUAUCCGGAUUUAUUGGGCGUAAAGCGAGUGCAGGCGGUUCAAUAAGUCUGAUGUGAAAGCCUUCGGCUCAACCGGAGAAUUGCAUCAGAAACUGUUGAACUUGAGUGCAGAAGAGGAGAGUGGAACUCCAUGUGUAGCGGUGGAAUGCGUAGAUAUAUGGAAGAACACCAGUGGCGAAGGCGGCUCUCUGGUCUGCAACUGACGCUGAGGCUCGAAAGCAUGGGUAGCGAACAGG
rnacentral:rRNA from 1 species